CAGUGUUUAAUUUAAAAAAUGCUCAAAAAUAUGUGCUAAGUUACAUAAUACAGGGAAGGCAAUUUUUUAAUCUUUGUUCUUGGUUUUGUUAUAAAUAAAAAAAAACGCCAACUUUAUGUCAAAUUAACAUAAAUUUACUCAUGAUAAAAUUGAUAAACAAUCAGCAAAAAAUUUUAAGCACUUGAGAUUGCAAAAUAGAUUGUCUACAAAUUUGUCAAAACAUAACAAAAUAACCUUUUAUAUCAAUAUUGAGAUUUAAAAAAAAAAAAAAUUACAAAAUCUAUUUUCCUUAAACUAAAAAAUACUAAAACUUUUAAUUGUUCUUUAAUUAAAUUGACUGUAUAAUGUUAUUAAGAUGUUAGUUCAAAACAAACAUAAUUAAACUUUAUAGUAUAUAAAUAGGUAUGUGGAUUGAAAAUUUUAAAUUAAUCAAAUACUAAAUAGUUAUAUAUCAUUGGAAAGAGCUUUUAUACAGUAUUGUAAUGGUAAAAAAAUUAUCAAAAUUGAACAACUCAACAAAAAGUUAUUUAAGUACCAAAUUUGUCUAAAUUUAGUUUUUAUUUAUCUAAAUUAUUAUGACUUUGUCAAUUCUUAUCCCACGGCUGUUUCAAGGUAGACAUAUGGCUGCUUGUUUUUUUUCUUAAUUAUUUGCUUAAAGGGUGUAACUAAAACUGUUAUAAUUUUCGAAAUAUUACAGAUUUAUAUAUUAUGUAAAAAGUAUUUUAUAUAAUAUUCUGUAAAAAGAAUAUAAAUAACAAUAAAAUGUUUUAUCGUUUAACAUUCAAUAAAAUAUCAAUUUUUUUUUAAUUUUUAAAUAAACACGCAUAAUUUACAAACUGAGCUGAUUUUGAAAAGUUUAAUGUUACUUAUUAGCAAAAAUAAUCCAAAAAAAUAUACUUAUGUUGUUUAAUAUAUAAUAUAAACAUUGUUAGACCAUUUUAGAGCAAAAAAAUUUACUUAACUUGUAAUGAUUGUUACGCAUAACUAUUCCUUCGGACAAUUGUUUAUAACGCUAAUUUAGAAUAGCAAUCAGCGAUUGCAAAACAAGCAAUUCCUUUUUGCGAAUUCCAUGAAAACUGAUUACAAAAGUAUUUCCUUAAGAGAAUUCCGCACGAAGAAUUCUCACUUAAAAGCCAUUGCGCUGAACUUAAUAACAGUUGAAGUUUUGACAUGAAACUACACAUACUUUUAUAACUAAACUAAUUGUAAUAAUUUAAUAUAAAAAUAAGGAAAUAAAUAUUAAAUAAAAACCAACGUUAAAUUCACUUCAUAAUAAAUAAGAAGUCAAAACAUUGCAUGGUACCAGAAGUGAACUGAAGACAUUUUAAGAAGAGAUUUUGGAAAAGUACUAACUUUAAAAAGAAAAAGAAAAUGGAACAUUUUUUUUCCAAAGCCAAACGUAAUGGACUUCAAUGAAUCCAAUAAAGCUGUUACAUGGAAAAAUUGAAACAAACUAUGCUGUUGUAUCUAAAAGCAGCAAUGUGAAAUAAAUCUGAAGAAGAAAAAUGUGACAUUCUUAUUAGUGAUCAGUGAAAAACCAAGAGAAAUAUUUAAUACAUGGACUUAAAACAAAAAAGAAAAUGACAACAGUGAAAUUGAUGACAUCACGGUAAAAGAUCUUUUUGAAAUACUCGAAGAAUACUCUUUACUGAAAAGAAAUCUGGUUUUGGAACGAAGAAAGUUUUUCUUAUGAAAACAAGAUGUAACUGAUUUAAAAAAUCUGCCUCAAACAUUGGAGUUUAAGAACAUUCAAGAUGGUCUGAUAUUUUACAAAAUAAUUGACGGAAUCAAAUCAGACAAAAUAAUCUAUUUGAAAAGGAGUGGAUUUAACUUUAACUAAAGCAAUUGACAUAUAUAGAGCCAAAGAAGUUGCAAAUACAGAAAUGAAAUCAAUUACAUACAAAAAAGAUAUUGACGUGGUAAAGAAAUUCAUAAAACCAAGACAAGCAAAUGCGUCAAUCGGAUAAAUAUCUAAAUGGAGAAAGUUCUCGAAUAUCAAAAAUGAGACAAAAGGCAAAGACUGGGUUGAACCAAAUUAACAAAACUGAAAACAAAUCAAUAAUGGCUCAAUAAUAAAAAACUGAAGUUGAUGUUAUGAUAAAAUAAGUCUACGUUCAACUAACAUCACGUGAUAAUCUCACUUAUACAAAUGUUAAGCUACGUGGUUAUGAAGGAAAUUACAUUCCAGUGCUUAAAACAUCAAAGAUGAUGUGUUACUACAAAAGUUGUAAAAAGUUGGUUAAAUUCUAUGUAGUUGAAACAACAAGCAAACUUUUUCUUAACUUACAAACUUCACAAGACUCAAAAGCUAUCAAACUACUAAAUGAAGUAAAAACUGUAGACACGAACGAAGCUAAGUUGCAGCUAAAAGAAAUAUCUACUCUAAACAAAGUAAAAUCGAUUGAAGGAAAAGAAUUAAAAGAAGAAAUUCUAAAUAUGUAUCCAAAAUUAUUUUACGGGUUAGGCAUGCUUGGACCUGAACAUUGGACCUGAAUGACUCAAAUCCUGUUAUUCAUCCACCAAGAAAAAUUCCUGUUACCUUGAGAGAAAAAAUAAAAAAAGAAUUGGAAGAAAUAGAAAAAUCAGGAGUAAUAACAUCAGGAGUAAUAACAAGAGUAGAUGGGUAAUUUGCUAGUACCAACAGAAUGGGUAAUUUGCUAGUAGUCGUGGAAAAACCAAAUGGACUCUGUCUGGAUCCAAGAGACCUAAAUAAAGCUAUAAAAAGAGAACAUCAAUUACCUACUUUUGAAGAAAUAUCAACUAGACGCAAAUUAAGGUUAUUGGCAAAUUCCACUGGAUAAAGACUAUGUUAACCACGAUGAAUACACCAAUUGGAAGAUUUAGAUCACACGUUUACCUUAUAUACAGUUGGCUCAGGAAGUAUUUCAUAAAAGAAUUAAUUAAUGUUUUGAUGAUCUUCGUUUUGUAGAAACUGAUAUUGAUGAUAUUCUAAUAUGGGGCACAAAAGAUGUCACGAUGAAAAUCUAAUAAAAUGCCUAGAUCGAGCUGAAAAAAUAGGAAUGA